rnacentral:misc_RNA from 1 species
GCAAACCAUAUGGGAAAUUUUUAUAGCUUUCUGAUAAGUUUUACUUCCUUAGUCCACUUACACAGUUACAUGCCAUCAAACUAAUCAAAUGGACCUAAACCAAAAAUCCAUGCCCUAGCCCCUAGGUCAAGUAAUUUCAACAUGGUUUGUCAACCAGUAUCCAUGCAUGGAAGCAUAAAUGAAUAACCGAACUAUUAAGUUCUGUUUUGUACUUGAUACAAUUUCAUGUAAACCUAUUGAUUUAUAUUACUUUCACAAGUACCCAAAAAAAUGCCAUACCCCACAAUAUAACCAGACUAUUCACAACAAUAUGGAACUUUAAUCAUCAAAACCUAAAGGGACGACAACAAUGUUCUCACCCUGCAACUGUGACUUGAGGGGGCAUGGUCUCAUGGUUGGGUGGACUCAACAUCAAUCCAUCAUCCUGGGCAGAAUUCUUUUCAGGAAUGUUAUUUCCAUUCUCACAUAUCAGGAGGUUCAUAGAAUUCUUAUGGUUUUCUUCAGCUUUUUGAACAGAUCCUUCAGGGUUUUGGUUCUCUGCUUCUGCAGGUUUCGCUUUGGACUUGACAGUCUUCCCUUCCGCUCCAGUGGUUGUGGUUCGCUGGGACUGAAGCUUUGGCUGGGACUUCCUGAUUGGUGUUUUUAAGGCUACAGUUUCUUUGCUGCCAUUUCUCUGAAUUCCCUUGGUUGCAUUGCUUGAUUCUGGUUUCAAAGCACGUGGACUAUCUGAGGAUUGUGGGCCAAGGGAAGAUCCACCACCUUCUACAGAGCCAUUCACUAAAGCAGUUAAGCUCUUGUGCCUUCCGAGCUUUGGUGAUAUCGGACGGGUGGUUGGUAUCUUUUUCAGUUCAACUUUUGGUGGAGGCUCCUUAUAGAAGCUUGGCAUGGGUGUAGCCUUAAAUGUCAGGCUUUUUCUUAGUUGCCUGAUCUCUGCUUCCUGGUUCUCCUUUGACUUUUCCUGCAAGUUACUUUUUUCCAUUUCCUUGGCAUGGAUCUUCUCUUCCAGCUUAGAAAAAAACUCCCUCCGCUUUUCUGCACGUUCAUCCAACCUGAAGGAAAACCCAGAACCGCUAGCUCUCCGUGCACGAGGAGUGGCAGAAGUAGUUGAAUGGAUGUCAUCAUCUUCUUUGCUUGGCAUUGUGGUAGGUACAUUUUGCAAAUUUUCAUCAGCUAACUCAGAUACUUCAGAGGGAGGGCAAUUGGUGGAUUCAUUCAAAGAACUUGAUUUCACAGGCUGUGCAGACUGUUGUUUGCUUGGCACAGUUGCUAAAGAAGUCCUCCUGGUAAUAACUUUGCCACCAUUGACAUUUGAUUCCUUUGAAUUCGCUCCAGUGCGUGCAUGCCUAAUCGGUUGAGUUAAACGGGAAACUGAAGUGAUUGAUCCAUUUGAAGUGACCUGACCUUUUCUACCAUCAUCUUGGGCAUAUUUGGCUGUGGUUUUUGUUGGGCGUUCAUCAAUGCUUUUCCUCAUAUUGUCAGGAUGAACUCCUCGUGCUGGAAAUGAAAGACUUUGAGAAAGUGAUGGCCUCUGACUACGAGAAACAGAACCAGGGCCUUUCAAAUUAGGUUUAUCCUUGGACAGUUUGUUGCUCUUUGAACCCAGGGUAGCUGAUUCCUUGAAGGAUUUUGAGAGUUUACUUUCAGAAAGAUUUGCUUUGGCAUUUAUUGCCACACCAGAGGAAUGAUGAUCAUCAGGAUUUGCAACAUGCUUGGAAGUUUCAUUGGCAUUCUUAGGCUCUUGAUCAUUAGCAGCAUUUUUUUCUUCUUUCCUUAGUACCACAGCAGAUGCUUCAGGAUGAGUUUCCUCAAUGACAUUGUCAUCCUUCAAUUCAACGGCAUUCUCAGACUCCAUUCUUUUACAAUAUUUCACAAUAAACUCAAUUUCAAAUUCCAAAUUUGGAUAAAUUUCCCACACUUUCUCAGCAACCAACCAGAAUCAAAUGAUGAACACAAGAAUUCAAGAUUCCUGAACCCAACAUUUUUUUCCCAAGAUUUGUGAACCUAGCAUUACACAAAACGAGAUAAAUACAAUGCAGGGCUUAGGAUGAGAAAAUUAGAGCAUACCUUGGAGAGUAGCAGAGGAGUGAAGUUUUAUCUGUUGAAAGAGACCACAGAGCAAAAGGGAUAACACAGAAUUAUAUGUAUAUAAAAGAGUAACAAAGAAGUGACAAAAUCUGACUGUAAAGAUAUAAAGAUUGGUAUAUACGAGCAAAGUUGUGACUCUCUCUCUCUGGUUUGAGAAAUACAAGAGACAGAAAGA